CCCUUAGAUGUUCUGGGCCGCACGCGCGCUACACUGAUGCAUUCAACGAGCCUAUCCUUGACCGACAGGUCCGGGUAAUCUUUGAAUCUGCAUCGUGACGGGGAUAGAUUAUUGCAAUUAUUAAUCUUCAACGAGGAAUGCCUAGUAGGCGCAAGUCAUCAGCUUGCGUCGAUUACGUCCCUGCCCUUUGUACACACCGCCCGUCGCUACUACCGAUUGAAUGGUUUAGUGAGAUCUCUGGAUUGACGCUGGCUAGGGGGCGACCCUUGGCCAGACUGUUGAGAAACUGCUCAAACUUGAUCAUUUAGAGGAAGUAAAAGUCGUAACA
rnacentral:rRNA from 1 species